UCGAGGAUCUUCGGCAAUGGGCGCAAGCCUGACCGAGCGACGCCGCGUGUGCGAUGAAGGCCUUCGGGUUGUAAAGCACUGUCGAGGGGGAGGAAGCUCCGCAAGGGGUUGACCUAUCCCUGGAGGAAGCACGGGCUAAGUUCGUGCCAGCAGCCGCGGUAAGACGAACCGUGCAAACGUUGUUCGGAUUCACUGGGCUUAAAGGGCGCGUAGGCGGGCGGUCAAGUCAGGGGUGAAAUCUUUCGGCUCAACCGGAAAAGUGCCUUUGAUACUGGCCGUCUCGAGGGAGGUAGGGGCAUGCGGAACUUCCGGUGGAGCGGUGAAAUGCGUAGAUAUCGGAAGGAACGCCGGUGGCGAAAGCGGCGUGCUGGACCUCUUCUGACGCUGAGGCGCGAAAGCCAGGGGAGCAAACGGGAUUAGAUACCCCCGUAGUCC
rnacentral:rRNA from 1 species